UGGGGAAUUUUGGACAAUGGGGGCAACCCUGAUCCAGCAAUGCCGCGUGUGUGAAGAAGGCCUUCGGGUUGUAAAGCACUUUUGUCCGGGAAGAAAUCGCACCUGAUAAUACCGGGUGUGGACGACGGUACCGGAAGAAUAAGGAUCGGCUAACUACGUGCCAGCAGCCGCGGUAUUACGUAGGGUCCAAGCGUUAAUCGGAAUUACUUGGCGUAGAGCGUGCGCAGGUGGUUGUGCAAGACCGAUGUGAAAUCCCCGGGCUUAAACUGGGAAUUGCAUUGGUGACUGCACGGCUAGAGUGUGUCAGAGGGGAGUAGAAUUCCACGUGUAGCAGUGAAAUGCGUAGAGAUAUGGAGGAAUACCGAUGGCGAAGGCAGCCCCCUGGGAUAACACUGACGCUCAUGCACGAAAGCGUGGGGAGCAAACAGG
rnacentral:rRNA from 1 species